rnacentral:tRNA from 1 species
GCCCCGAUAGCUCAGAAGGGAGAGCGCCGCGUCGACAUCGCGGAGGCCGGUCGUUCGAUCCGACCUCGGGGCACAA